rnacentral:tRNA from 2 species
GCAGGUAAAGUGUUGAUGGCGGCAUACGGUACUUCCGAUUCUGUGGGUGGGGUUCAAAUCCCCAUACCUGCU